UGAUCAUGAUCGCUUUGUUGAUAUCUUUAGUGAAUACACAUCCCUGCAGCCCAAAAUUGCUGGCAUUGCAAUGGUGGAUGCCUUCCUCGACCGAGUUGAUCCUAAUCACAGGCAAGACAGGGCCAAAUGGCUCCUCCCAAGCAAUCCUCAUGUCAGGCCGGACGUGAUCCAGUAGCAACGGCCAGAUAAGGUUGCCUUCUCUCCUGUACUCCUGACAAAAGGUUGCUCCUUUCUCCUUGGCAUCCAUGACCAAACCCUCAAUA
rnacentral:misc_RNA from 1 species